GAUGAAGAACGUAGCGAAAUGCGAUAAGUAAUGUGAAUUGCAGAAUUCAGUGAAUCAUCGAAUCUUUGAACGCACCUUGCGCUCCUUGGUAUUCCGAGGAGCAUGCCUGUUUGAGUGUCAUUUAAUUCUCAACCCCUCCAGCUUUCUUGGCUGGUUUGGUGGCUUGGAUGUGGGGGGAUACAUCUGCGGGCCUCUACAGAGGUCGGCUCCCCUGAAAUGCAUUAGCGGAACCGUUUGCGGUAACUGUCACUGGUGUGAUAACUAUCUACGCCAAAGGCAACUGCUCUCUGGUAGUUCUGCUUCUAACUGUCCUUUUUACUUGGACAACGAAUAUCUGAACACUUGACCUCAAAUCAGGUAGGACUACCCGCUGAACUUAAGCAUAUCAAUAAGCGGAGGA
rnacentral:misc_RNA from 1 species